UUCGGCUGACGAGUCCCAAAUAGGACGAAGUGACACGCGUCCUGGAA
rnacentral:hammerhead_ribozyme from 1 species